UAAGGAAUAUUGGACAAUGGAGGCAACUCUGAUCCAGCCAUCCCGCGUGCAGGAAUAAUGCCCUAUGGGUUGUAAACUGCUUUAGCUAGGGAAUAAAUCUUGUGAUUUAUCAUAAGUUGAAGGUACCUAGAGAAUAAGCACCGGCUAACUCCGUGCCAGCAGCCGCGGUAAUACGGAGGGUGCAAGCGUUAUCCGGAUUUACUGGGUUUAAAGGGUGCGUAGGCGGAUUUUUAAGUCAGAUGUGAAAGCUUGCAGCUUAACUGUAAGAUUGCGUUUGAUACUGGAAGUCUUGAAUAUGGUGGAAGUAGGCGGAACGAAUCAUGUAGCGGUGAAAUGCAUAGAUAUGAUUCGGAACACCGAUUGCGAAGGCAGCUUGCUAUACCAUUAUUGACGCUGAGGC
rnacentral:rRNA from 1 species